rnacentral:rRNA from 1 species
AUUGUUUCAGCAAUGGAACAUGAGAGCGGCGCACGGGUGAGUAACGCGUACACGACCUACCUUUGACUGGGGGAUAGCCCUGGGAAACUGGGAUUAAUACCGCAUAUAAUUCUCGAUAAUAAAGGUUGGGAAUGAAAGUUCAGGCGGUCAGAGAUGGGUGUGCGUCUGAUUAGCUAGUUGGUAAGGUAACGGCUUACCAAGGCGAUGAUCAGUAGGGGGCGUGAGAGCGUGAUCCCCCACACGGGUACUGAGACACGGACCCGACUCCUACGGGAGGCAGCAGUAAGGAAUAUUGGACAAUGGCCGCAAGGCUGAUCCAGCCAUCCAGCGUGCAGGAAGAAGGCCCUAUGGGUUGUAAACUGCUCUUAUCAGGGAAUAAACCUCUUUAUUUAUAGAGAGCUGAAGGUACCUGAAGAAUAAGCACCGGCUAACUCCGUGCCAGCAGCCGCGGUAAUACGGAGGGUGCGAGCGUUAUCCGGAAUUACUGGGUUUAAAGGGUGCGUAGGCGGCCCUGUAAGUCAGGAGUGAAAGUUUGCGGCUCAACCGUAAAAUUGCUUUUGAUACUGCGGGGCUAGAAUUAGGAUGAGGUCAGCGGAAUGUGGCAUGUAGCGGUGAAAUGCAUAGAUAUGCCAUAGAACACCAAUUGCGAAGGCAGCUGACUAGACCUGGAUUGACGCUGAGGCACGAAAGCGUGGGGAGCGAACAGGAUUAGAUACCCUGGUAGUCCACGCCCUAAACGAUGCUUACUCGACGUAUGGCGCUAGACGUUGUGCGUCCAAGGGAAACCGUUAAGUAAGCCACCUGGGGAGUACGACCGCAAGGUUGAACUCAAAG